rnacentral:rRNA from 1 species
CCUACGGGUGGCUGCAGUGGGGAAUAUUGGACAAUGGGGGGAACCCUGAUCCAGCCAUGCCGCGUGUGUGAAGAAGGCCCUCGGGUUGUAAAGCACUUUCAGUGAGGAAGAACGCCUGGUGGUUAAUACCCAUCAGGAAAGACAUCACUCACAGAAGAAGCACCGGCUAACUCCGUGCCAGCAGCCGCGGUAAUACGGAGGGUGCGAGCGUUAAUCGGAAUUACUGGACGUAAAGCGCGCGUAGGUGGCUUGAUAAGCCGGUUGUGAAAGCCCCGGGCUCAACCUGGGAACGGCAUCCGGAACUGUCAAGCUAGAGUGCAGGAGAGGAAGGUAGAAUUCCCGGUGUAGCGGUGAAAUGCGUAGAGAUCGGGAGGAAUACCAGUGGCGAAGGCGGCCUUCUGGACUGACACUGACACUGAGGUGCGAAAGCGUGGGUAGCAAACAGGAUUAGAUACCCUAGUAGUC